CUACCUUAAGUGUUAAUUGCAGUAAUCCUGAUAUACUAAAGUAUGGAUCCAUAAAGUGUAGAUGUAAUCGAAAAGCUAUGAUUAGGAUCUCAGAGACUACGGGGAAUUAAAAUAG